UCACGAGACACGGGGUGCGCGGAGAGACGCGCUGAGAACACACCCGUUGAACCUGCUCUAGUUCGAACUAGCGAAGGGAUGGUCCGUGUCAGACAC
rnacentral:ncRNA from 2 species